AUAUGCACCUGGCAGGGGGAUAUGAUGAUCAUGAGGGUGAUUUUCCCAGGGCAAGGCAUUGCACUCUGAUGUGCUGACUCCUGUGAUUUCCCCGAAUGUGAGACACUCAACAGCAUAAUUUGUGAUAGUGGGGAGCUGCGUUUGCACUCCCAU
rnacentral:snRNA from 1 species